rnacentral:rRNA from 1 species
CAGCAGUAGCCACGGUAAUACGUAGGUGGCAAGCGUUGUCCGGAAUUAUUGGGCGUAAAGGGUACGUAGGUGGCCUUUUAAGCGUAGGGUAUAAGGCAAUGGCUCAACCAUUGUUCGCCCUAUGAACUGGAAGGCUUGAGUGCAGGAGAGGAAAGCGGAAUUCCUAGUGUAGCGGUGGAAUGCAUUGAUAUUAGGAGGAACAUCAGCGGCGAAGGCGGCUUUCUGGACUGCAACUGACACUGAGGUACGAAAGCGUGGGGAGCAAACAGGAUUAGAUACCCCAGUAGUCCCUGUCUCUUAUACA